UAAGUAGGGUGCAAGCGUUGUCCGGAAUUAUUGGGCGUAAAGAGCUCGUAGGCGGUCUGUCGCGUCGGCUGUGAAAACUCGGGGCUCAACCCCGAGCCUGCAGUCGAUACGGGCAGACUAGAGUGCUGUAGGGGAGACUGGAAUUCCUGGUGUAGCGGUGGAAUGCGCAGAUAUCAGGAGGAACACCAAUAGCGAAGGCAGCUCGCUACACGAAGAUUGACUCUGAGGCACGAAAGCGUGGGGAGCAAACAGG
rnacentral:rRNA from 1 species